GCCUACAAAAGAGGAAAUGGAACAAAUUUUUGAAAAAUUAAAGAGUAAAAUAGAAAAUAAACAUUGUUUUGAUUGUAAUGCAAAGAAUCCUUCUUGGGCCAGUAUAUCCCACGGUAUAUUUUUGUGCAUGACUUGCUCAGGAGUACAUCGUUCUUUGGGAACUCAUACUUCUUUUGUGAGAUCCACCCUUCUUGAUUCUUGGACAUGGAAGCAAUUAAUAAAAAUGAAGUGUGGAGGGAAUGCGAUUGCUUUACAGUUUUUUAGGGAUCACAAUUGUUAUACAAAAGAUUUCCAUUCCAAAUAUAACAGUCGGACUGCGGUAGCUUAUCGACAAAAACUUGAAAGCCAAGCAGAGCGAAUUGUUAAUCAAGGGAACUUUAAGAACUUUCUUUUUGCUGGAAGCCAGUCUGCUGAAGAAAAUAAUAAUGAAGAAGAACAAAACUUUCUUUUCUCAAAAAGUAAUACAAAUAAUAAUAUUCCAGUGGAAAAGUUAUCUGAAAGUAUACUAUUUACUAACAGUUCCG